UACGUAGGGCGCAAGCGUUGUCCGGAAUUAUUGGGCGUAAAGAGCUCGUAGGCGGUUUGUCGCGUCUGUCGUGAAAGCUUGGGGCUUAACCCCAAGUCUGCGGUGGAUACGGGCAGACUAGAGGCAGGUAGGGGAGAACGGAAUUCCCGGUGUAGCGGUGAAAUGCGCAGAUAUCGGGAGGAACACCGGUGGCGAAGGCGGUUCUCUGGGCAUUACCUGACGCUGAGGAGCGAAAGUGUGGGGAGCGAACAGG
rnacentral:rRNA from 1 species